AACGAACGCUGGCGGCAUGCCUAACACAUGCAAGUCGAACGAGACCUUCGGGUCUAGUGGCGCACGGGUGCGUAACGCGUGGGAACCUGCCCUUAGGUUCGGAAUAACUCCCCGAAAGGGGUGCUAAUACCUGAUAAUGUCUUCGGACCAAAGAUUUAUCGCCUUUGGAUGGGCCCGCGUUGGAUUAGCUAGUUGGUGGGGUAAAGGCCUACCAAGGCGACGAUCCAUAGCUGGUCUUAGAGGAUGAUCAGCCACACUGGGACUGAGACACGGCCCAGACUCCUACGGGAGGCAGCAGUGGGGAAUAUUGGACAAUGGGCGAAAGCCUGAUCCAGCAAUGCCGCGUGAGUGAUGAAGGCCUUAGGGUUGUAAAGCUCUUUUACCAGGGAUGAUAAUGACAGUACCUGGAGAACAAGCUCCGGCUAACUCCGUGCCAGCCGCCGCAGUAAUAC
rnacentral:rRNA from 1 species